GUAGGUGGCAAGCGUUGUCCGGAAUUAUUGGGCGUAAAGCGCGCGCAGGCGGUUCUUUGAGUCUGAUGUGAAAGCCCACGGCUCAACCGUGGAGGGUCAUUGGAAACUGGAGAACUUGAGUACAGAAGAGGAAAGCGGAAUUCCACGUGUAGCGGUGAAAUGCGUAGAGAUGUGGAGGAACACCAGUGGCGAAGGCGGCUUUCUGGUCUGUAACUGACGCUGAGGCGCGAAAGCGUGGGGAGCAAACAGGAUUAGAUACCCUGGUAGUCCACGCCGUAAACGAUGAGUGCUAAGUGUUAGGGGGGUUUUCCGCCCCCCUUAGUGCUGCAGCUAACGCAUUAAGCACUCCGCCUGGGAGUACGGCCGCAAGGCUG
rnacentral:rRNA from 1 species